rnacentral:rRNA from 1 species
UAUCAUUAACUGAAUCCAUAGGUUAAUGAGGCGAACCGGGGGAACUGAAACAUCUAAGUACCCCGAGGAAAAGAAAUCAACCGAGAUUCCCCCAGUAGCGGCGAGCGAACGGGGAGGAGCCCAGAGCCUGAAUCAGCAUGUGUGUUAGUGGAAGCGUCUGGAAAGGCGCGCGAUACAGGGUGACAGCCCCGUACACAAAAGCGCAUGUGCUGUGAGCUCGAUGAGUAGGGCGGGACACGUGGUAUCCUGUCUGAAUAUGGGGGGACCAUCCUCCAAGGCUAAAUACUCCUGACUGACCGAUAGUGAACCAGUACCGUGAGGGAAAGGCGAAAAGAACCCCGGCGAGGGGAGUGAAAAAGAACCUGAAACCGUGUACGUACAAGCAGUGGGAGCACCCUUUGGGUGUGACUGCGUACCUUUUGUAUAAUGGGUCAGCGACUUAUAUUCUGUAGCAAGGUUAACCGAAUAGGGGAGCCGGAGGGAAACCGAGUCUUAACCGGGCGUUAAGUUGCAGGGUAUAGACCCGAAACCCGGUGAUCUAGCCAUGGGCAGGUUGAAGGUUGGGUAACACUAACUGGAGGACCGAACCGACUAAUGUUGAAAAAUUAGCGGAUGACCUGUGGCUGGGGGUGAAAGGCCAAUCAAACCGGGAGAUAGCUGGUUCUCCCCGAAAGCUAUUUAGGUAGCGCCUCGUGAAUUCAUCUCCGGGGGUAGAGCACUGUUUCGGCUAGGGGGCCAUCCCGGCUUACCAACCCGAUGCAAACUGCGAAUACCGGAGAAUGUUAUCACGGGAGACACACGGCGGGUGCUAACGUCCGUCGUGAAGAGGGAAACAACCCAGACCGCCAGCUAAGGUCCCAAAGUCAUGGUUAAGUGGGAAACGAUGUGGGAAGGCCCAGACAGCCAGGAUGUUGGCUUAGAAGCAGCCAUCAUUUAAAGAAAGCGUAAUAGCUCACUGGUCGAGUCGGCCUGCGCGGAAGAUGUAACGGGGCUAAACCAUGCACCGAAGCUGCGGCAGCGACACUGUGUGUUGUUGGGUAGGGGAGCGUUCUGUAAGCCUGUGAAGGUGUGUCGUGAGGCAUGCUGGAGGUAUCAGAAGUGCGAAUGCUGACAUAAGUAACGAUAAAGCGGGUGAAAAGCCCGCUCGCCGGAAGACCAAGGGUUCCUGUCCAACGUUAAUCGGGGCAGGGUGAGUCGACCCCUAAGGCGAGGCCGAAAGGCGUAGUCGAUGGGAAACGGGUUAAUAUUCCCGUACUUGGUGUUACUGCGAAGGGGGGACGGAGAAGGCUAUGUUGGCCGGGCGACGGUUGUCCCGGUUUAAGCGUGUAGGUGUGUGUUCCAGGUAAAUCCGGUUCACUUUAACACUGAGGCGUGACGACGAGGCACUACGGUGCUGAAGCAACAAAUGCCCUGCUUCCAGGAAAAGCCUCUAAGCAUCAGGUAACAUCAAAUCGUACCCCAAACCGACACAGGUGGUCAGGUAGAGAAUACCAAGGCGCUUGAGAGAACUCGGGUGAAGGAACUAGGCAAAAUGGUGCCGUAACUUCGGGAGAAGGCACGCUGACACGUAGGUGAAGUGAUUUACUCAUGGAGCUGAAGUCAGUCGAAGAUACCAGCUGGCUGCAACUGUUUAUUAAAAACACAGCACUGUGCAAACACGAAAGUGGACGUAUACGGUGUGACGCCUGCCCGGUGCCGGAAGGUUAAUUGAUGGGGUCAGCGCAAGCGAAGCUCCUGAUCGAAGCCCCGGUAAACGGCGGCCGUAACUAUAACGGUCCUAAGGUAGCGAAAUUCCUUGUCGGGUAAGUUCCGACCUGCACGAAUGGCGUAAUGAUGGCCAGGCUGUCUCCACCCGAGACUCAGUGAAAUUGAACUCGCUGUGAAGAUGCAGUGUACCCGCGGCAAGACGGAAAGACCCCGUGAACCUUUACUAUAGCUUGACACUGAACAUUGAGCCUUGAUGUGUAGGAUAGGUGGGAGGCUUUGAAGUGUGGACGCCAGUCUGCAUGGAGCCGACCUUGAAAUACCACCCUUUAAUGUUUGAUGUUCUAACGUGGACCCGUUACCCGGGUUGCGGACAGUGUCUGGUGGGUAGUUUGACUGGGGCGGUCUCCUCCUAAAGAGUAACGGAGGAGCACGAAGGUUGGCUAAUCCUGGUCGGACAUCAGGAGGUUAGUGCAAUGGCAUAAGCCAGCUUGACUGCGAGCGUGACGGCGCGAGCAGGUGCGAAAGCAGGUCAUAGUGAUCCGGUGGUUCUGAAUGGAAGGGCCAUCGCUCAACGGAUAAAAGGUACUCCGGGGAUAACAGGCUGAUACCGCCCAAGAGUUCAUAUCGACGGCGGUGUUUGGCACCUCGAUGUCGGCUCAUCACAUCCUGGGGCUGAAGUAGGUCCCAAGGGUAUGGCUGUUCGCCAUUUAAAGUGGUACGCGAGCUGGGUUUAGAACGUCGUGAGACAGUUCGGUCCCUAUCUGCCGUGGGCGCUGGAGAACUGAGGGGGGCUGCUCCUAGUACGAGAGGACCGGAGUGGACGCAUCACUGGUGUUCGGGUUGUCAUGCCAAUGGCACUGCCCGGUAGCUAAAUGCGGAAGAGAUAAGUGCUGAAAGCAUCUAAGCACGAAACUUGCCCCGA